rnacentral:lncRNA from 1 species
GAAAAAUCAGCGACUGUCGUGUUCGCUGCUGCCUCGCCUAGCGAGGGCCUGGCGAACACUCGCUACAUGUUCGCUUAGCGAUGUGCUAGCGAACGACUGCGGGUUUUGAAUUUAAGAACAAUACGAUUUCAGCAAGCUCCACACCCUAUGACAUCCAUUACAGAAAUUUUAUGGUUAAACAUUCAAGAUAUCCAUACAUGUUUAAAUCCACAUGCAAAACCUAA